rnacentral:rRNA from 1 species
AUGAUGAAAAACUUAAUUUGGAAGUUUCUAUACCUAGAAAACUUAAUUAAAGAUUAUGAGUGUUUUGCUUUGUGUAAUUUGGGUGCUAGCGUUUCCAUGAUUCCGAAAACUUUAUGUGAUAUUCUAGGUUUCCAUGAUCUUGAUGAUUGCUCUUUAAAUUUGCACCUUGCGGAUUCCACCUUUAAAAGGCUUAUGGGAAGGAUCAAUGAUGUUCUUAUCAUUGCAAAUAGAAAAUUGGUGCCCGUAGAUUUUAUCGUUCUUGAUAUAGAUUGCAAUCUUUCUUGCCCUAUUAUUCUUGGUAGACCUUUCCUUAGAACGAUUGGUGCGAUUAUUGAUAUGAAGGAAGGGAAUACUAGAUUCCAAUUUCCAUUAAAGAAAGGCAUGGAGCACUUUCCAAGAAAGAAAUUCAAAUUACCUUAUGAAUCUAUCAUGCGUGCUACUUAUGAAUUUAGUGCCAAAGAUGGCACUCGUUAG